AUGACCACACUUAUUGACCGUUGGAGGCCAGAGACACACUCAUUCCACUUGUCAUGUGGAGAGAUGACCGUGACCUUGGAGGACAUGGCGAUGAUCAGUGGCCUUCCAAUCAAUGGAGAAGCUUUGACCGGUUGCAACAGGAACAACAAGAGGAGCAACUGCAAGAAGAGCCAGAGCAAGACGAAGAGGAGUACAAUCAAGAUGAAGAGGAGUACAAUCAAGACGAAGAGGAGCUGCUUGGGAUGUCCCAAAUGGAUGAUGCGCCGCAGCCAUCACAGCCCACACAAUGCACGCCGCGCAGCAAAGGAGGAAGGAAGAAGUGAAUUAGUUAAUACUAGAUUCUUGCGAACUUUGUUAUGUUUGAUUCGUGAACUUUAG
rnacentral:rRNA from 1 species